CAGCCGCCGCGGUAAUACCGGCGGCCCGAGUGGUGGCCGCUAUUAUUGGGCCUAAAGCGUCCGUAGCCGGGCCCGUAAGUCCCUGGCGAAAUCCCACGGCUCAACCGUGGGGCUUGCUGGGGAUACUGCGGGCCUUGGGACCGGGAGAGGCGGGGGGGUCCCCUGGGGGAGGGGGGAAAUCCUAUAAUCCCAGGGGGACCGCCAGUGGCGAAGGCGCCCCGCUGGAACGGGUCCGACGGUGAGGGACGAAGGCCAGGGGAGCAAACCGGAUUAGAUACCCGGGUAGUCCUGGCGGUAAAGGAUGCGGGCUAGGUGUCGGGUGAGCUUCGGGCUCGCCCGGUGCCGUAGGGAAGCCGUUAAGCCCGCCGCCUGGGGAGUACGGCCGCAAGGCUGAAACUUAAAGGAAUUGGCGGG
rnacentral:rRNA from 1 species